rnacentral:rRNA from 1 species
CCUUAGAGUUUGAUCCUGGCUCAGGACGAACGCUGGCGGCGCGCCUAACACAUGCAAGUCGAACGAGCGAGAGAGAGCUUGCUUUCUCGAGCGAGUGGCGAACGGGUGAGUAACGCGUGAGGAACCUGCCUCAAAGAGGGGGACAACAGUUGGAAACGACUGCUAAUACCGCAUAAGCCCACGGUGCCGCAUGGUACAGAGGGAAAAGGAGCAAUCCGCUUUGAGAUGGCCUCGCGUCCGAUUAGCUAGUUGGUGAGGUAACGGCCCACCAAGGCGACGAUCGGUAGCCGGACUGAGAGGUUGAACGGCCACAUUGGGACUGAGACACGGCCCAGACUCCUACGGGAGGCAGCAGUGGGGAAUAUUGCACAAUGGGGGAAACCCUGAUGCAGCGACGCCGCGUGGAGGAAGAAGGUCUUCGGAUUGUAAACUCCUGUUGUUGGGGAAGAUAAUGACGGUACCCAACAAGGAAGUGACGGCUAACUACGUGCCAGCAGCCGCGGUAAAACGUAGGUCACAAGCGUUGUCAGGAAUUACUGGGUGUAAAGGGAGCGCAGGCGGGAAGACAAGUUGGAAGUGAAAUCUAUGGGCUCAACCCAUAAACUGCUUUCAAAACUGUUUUUCUUGAGUAGUGCAGAGGUAGGCGGAAUUCCCGGUGUAGCGGUGGAAUGCGUAGAUAUCGGGAGGAACACCAGUGGCGAAGGCGGCCUACUGGGCACCAACUGACGCUGAGGCUCGAAAGUGUGGGUAGCAAACAGGAUUAGAUACCCUGGUAGUCCACACCGUAAACGAUGAUUACUAGGUGUUGGAGGAUUGACCCCUUCAGUGCCGCAGUUAACACAAUAAGUAAUCCACCUGGGGAGUACGACCGCAAGGUUGAAACUCAAAGGAAUUGACGGGGGCCCGCACAAGCAGUGGAGUAUGUGGUUUAAUUCGACGCAACGCGAAGAACCUUACCAAGUCUUGACAUCCCUUGACAGGCAUAGAAAUAUGUUUUCUCUUCGGAGCAAGGAGACGGGUGGUGCAUGGUUGUCGUCAGCUCGUGUCGUGAGAUGUUGGGUUAAGUCCCGCAACGAGCGCAACCCUUAUGGUCAGUUACUACGCAAGAGGACUCUGGCCAGACUGCCGUUGACAGAACGGAGGAAGGUGGGGAUGACGUCAAAUCAUCAUGCCCUUUAUGACUUGGGCUACACACGUACUACAAUGGCGUUAAACAAAGAGAAGCAAGACCGCGAGGUGGAGCAAAACUCAGAAACAACGUCCCAGUUCGGACUGCAGGCUGCAACUCGCCUGCACGAAGUCGGAAUUGCUAGUAAUCGUGGAUCAGCAUGCCACGGUGAAUACGUUCCCGGGCCUUGUACACACCGCCCGUCA